UACGUAGGGUGCAAGCGUUGUCCGGAAUUAUUGGGGCGUAAAGAGCUCGUAGGUGGCCUGUCGCGUCGGCUGUGAAAACUCGGGGCUCAACUCCGAGCUUGCAGUCGAUACGGGCAGGCUAGAGUUCGGCAGGGGAGACUGGAAUUCCUGGUGUAGCGGUGAAAUGCGCAGAUAUCAGGAGGAACACCGGUGGCGAAGGCGGGUCUCUGGGCCGAUACUGACACUGAGGAGCGAAAGCGUGGGGAGCGAACAGG
rnacentral:rRNA from 1 species